GACGGGGUGGCGGAAUAGGCAGACGCGUACGUUUGAGGGGCGUAUGGAGAAAUCCGUGCGGGUUCAAGUCCCGCCCUCGUCACCA
rnacentral:tRNA from 1 species